GGAGUACGGCCGACAAUUUUAAAAUUCAAUUGAAAUUGACGGGGGCCCGCACAAGCGGUGGAGCAUGUGGUUUAUUUUCGAUGCAACGGGAAGAACCUUACCUGGUCUUGACAUCCACAGAACUUUCCAGAGAUGGAUUGGUGCCUUCGGGAACUGUGAGACAGGUGCUGCAUGGCUGUCGUCAGCUCGUGUUGUGAAAUGUUGGGUUAAGUCCCGCAACGAGCGCAACCCUUAUCCUUUGUUGCCAGCGGUCCGGCCGGGAACUCAAAGGAGACUGCCAGUGAUAAACUGGAGGAAGGUGGGGAUGAGGUCAAGUCAUCAUGGCCCUUACGACCAGGGCUACACACUGCUACAAUGGCGCAUACAAAGAGAAGCGACCUCGCGAGAGCAAGCGGACCUCAUAAAGUGCGUCGUAGUCCGGAUUGGAGUCUGCAACUCGACUCCAUGAAGUAGGAAUC
rnacentral:rRNA from 1 species